rnacentral:rRNA from 1 species
GUGAAAUGCAUAGAUAUGAUACAGAACACCGAUAGCGAAGGCAGCUUACCAAACUGUAACUGACGCUCAUGCACGAAAGCGUGGGGAGCAAACAGGAUUAGAUACCCUGGUAGUCCACGCUGUAAACUAUGAUCACUCGCUGUUGGCGAUACACUGUCAGCGGCUUAGCGAAAGUGUUAAGUGAUCCACCUGGGGAGUACGAUCGCAAGGUUGAAACUCAAAGGAAUUGACGGGGGCCCGCACAAGCGGAGGAGCAUGUGGUUUAAUUCGAUGAUACGCGAGGAACCUUACCUGGGCUUAAAUGCAGAACGACCUCCCGAGAAAUCGGGACUUCCUUCGGGACGGACUGCAAGGUGCUGCAUGGUUGUCGUCAGCUCGUGCCGUGAGGUGUCGGGUUAAGUCCCAUAACGAGCGCAACCCUUAUCCUUAGUUGCCAACAGGUAAUGCUGGGAACUCUAAGGAAACUGCCUACGCAAGUAGUGAGGAAGGUGGGGAUGACGUCAAAUCAGCACGGCCCUUAUGUCCAGGGCUACACACGUGCUACAAUGGUCGGUACAGAGGGCAGCUACCUGGCAACAGGAUGCUAAUCUCGAAAGCCGGUCUCAGUUCGGAUUGGAGUCUGCAACUCGACUCCAUGAAGUUGGAUUCGCUAGUAAUCGCGCAUCAGCCAUGGCGCGGUGAUACGUUCCCGGGCCUUGUACACACCGCCCGUCAAGCCAUGGAAGCUGGGAGUACCUGAAGUCUGUUACCG